AAAAUAUGAGCCUGAAUAUCCCGACAGAAAUACCCCGAGUAUACCCUGGAGGUGGAAGCAGCAGACAUGAACGGGGAGGGACUUUCUGCAUUAAUGAAAGUAAUGAUCUCUGUAACUCCUGACACGGAGCUCCCUGCUGCCCAAGGAGGAGGGAGGAGCAGGAGGAAUGCAGAUCCAAAGAUUCAUCAUUCUUCUUCAGAGAAAAUGUACCAAAUCUGUUACCUCUGUCUUCUGAAGAAGGAAAAAGGAGACGGAAGAGAAGCUGGAUUAUUCCUCCCAUCAGUGUUCCUGAGAAUAGCAGAGGCC